rnacentral:rRNA from 1 species
UACAGAGGGUGCGAGCGUUGUCCGGAAUCACUGGGCGUAAAGGGCGCGUAGGCGGCGCCACAAGUCACUUGUGAAAACUCUGGGCUCAACUCAGAGCCUGCAAGCGAAACUGUGGUGCUGGAGUAUGGGAGAGGUGCGUGGAAUUCCCGGUGUAGCGGUGAAAUGCGUAGAUAUCGGGAAGAACACCGGUGGCGAAGGCGGCAUCCUGGACCGAUACUGACGCUGAGGAGCGAAAGCCAGGGGAGCAAACGGG